rnacentral:lncRNA from 1 species
AUCAGCAAAUAGCAUACACCAUGGCACAUCCCCUUGAAUAUGGCGAGUCAGAGCAUCCAUUACCAAAGCAAUUACACUAUGAAUACAUAAAGCUUAAACUUUCGCACAUUCCCUUGAAUAUGGCGAGUCAGAGCAUCCAUUACCAAAGCAAAAAGGAGAGGGCUAAGCGCAGAUCCUUGUUGGAGCCCCAUAACCACCGCGAAAUGGUCUGAGUCGCCACUCACCGUCCUAACCCUCGUCUUAGCUCCAUCGUACAUGUCCUCGAUCACUCUGAUGUAGGAUUCCGGCACACUCUUCGCCUCCAGGCACCUCCAUAGCACCUCCCUUGGGACCUUGUCGUAUGCCUUCUCCAAGUCG